AAUUCGCCCUUAGAGUUUGAUCAUGGCUCAGAUUGAACGCUGGCGGCAUGCCUUACACAUGCAAGUCGAACGGUAACGCGGGGCAACCUGGCGACGAGUGGCGAACGGGUGAGUAAUAUAUCGGAACGUGCCCAGUCGUGGGGGAUAACUGCUCGAAAGAGCAGCUAAUACCGCAUACGACCUGAGGGUGAAAGCGGGGGAUCUUCGGACCUCGCGCGAUUGGAGCGGCCGAUAUCAGAUUAGGUAGUUGGUGGGGUAAAGGCCUACCAAGCCGACGAUCUGUAGCUGGUCUGAGAGGACGACCAGCCACACUGGGACUGAGACACGGCCCAGACUCCUACGGGAGGCAGCAGUGGGGAAUUUUGGACAAUGGGGGCAACCCUGAUCCAGCCAUGCCGCGUGCGGGAAGAAGGCCUUCGGGUUGUAAACCGCUUUUGUCAGGGAAGAAAUCCUUUGGGCUAAUAACUCGGAGGGAUGACGUAC
rnacentral:rRNA from 1 species